rnacentral:misc_RNA from 1 species
UUUUUUUUUUUUUUUGUUCUUUUCACUUCAGAAGAAUAUUAGAAUGCUAUAAAAGCAAGUGCUUCCCAAAUUUUUAUAACAUUUCACUCUGAUGAAGGCCACCAGUGUACUCUUAAAUUAUUCAAACGAUCAAGACGUUUCAAUGAAAAAUUUUACGGAAUCAAUUUAAAUACAAAGCAAAAUUUCAGAAUUUGCACAAGGAUUUUUGUGACCU